GCCCGGCUAGCUCGAUCGGUAGAGCGUGAGACUCUUAAUCUCAAGACUGUGGGUUCGACCCGUAGGCGCUUAUCUGAUCCUCCCAAGGCAUGGACA